rnacentral:rRNA from 1 species
GUUGAUUCUGCCGGAGGCUACUGCUAUCGGGGUCCGACUAAGCCAUGCGAGUUGAGAGGGGUAAGCCCUCAGCAUAUUGCUCAGUAACACGCGGAUAACCUGCCCUUGGGUUCGGGAUAACCCCGGGAAACUGGGACUAAUACCGGAUAGAUCAAAGAAACUGGAAUGUUCUCUGGUUAAAAACUCCGGUGCCCAAGGAUGGGUCUGCGGCCUAUCAGGUAGUAGUGGGUGUAACGUACCUACUAGCCUACGACGGGUAAGGGUUGUGAGAGCAAGAGCCCUGAGAUGGAUUCUGAGACAUGAAUCCAGGCCCUACGGGGUGCAGCAGGCGCGAAAACUUUACACUGCGGGAAACCGCGAUAAGGGGACCCCGAGUGCCAGCACCUAGUGCUGGCUGUCCAGCUGUCCAAAUAACAGUUGUUAGCAAGGGCCGGGCAAGACCGGUGCCAGCCGCCGCGGUAACACCGGCGGCCCGAGUGGUAGCCGUUAUUAUUGGGUUUAAAGGGUCCGUAGCCGGCCUAUUAAGUCUCUUGGGAAAUCUGGCGACUCAAUCGUCAGGCGUCCAAGAGAUACUGGUAGGCUUGGGACCGGGAGAGGUGGGAGGUACUCCAGGGGUAGGGGUGAAAUCUCGUAAUCCUUGGGGGACCACCGAUGGCGAAGGCAUCCCACCAGAACGGGUCCGACGGUGAGGGACGAAAGCUGGGGGCACGAACCGGAUUAGAUACCCGGGUAGUCCUAGGCGUAAAUGAUGCGAGUUAAGUGUGGGGGCAUCUACGAGAUGGCCCUGUGCUGUAGGGUAGCCGUUAAACUCGCCGCCUCGGGAGUACGGUCGCAAGGCUGAAACUUAAAGGAAUUGGCGGGGGAGCACCACAAGGG